CCUACGGGUGGCAGCAGUGGGGGAUAUUGCACAAUGGGGGAAACCCUGAUGCAGCGACGCCGCGUGUGGGAAGACGGUCCUCUGGAUUGUAAACCACUGUCCCCAGGGACGAAGAUGACGGUACCAGGGGAGGAAGCUCCGGCAAACUACGUGCCAGCAGCCGCGGUAAUACGUAGGGAGCGAGCUGUGUCGGGAAUGACUGGGUGAAAGGGGAGCGUAGGCGGGGAUGCAAGGUGGUUGGAAAAACUACCGGCUCAACUGGGAGUCGCACUCAAAACUGGAGCUCUUGAGUGAAGUAGAGGCAGGCAGAAUUCCUAGUGUAGCGGUGAAAUGCGUAGAGAUUAGGAGGAACACCAGUGGCGAAGGCGGCCUGCUGGGCUUUUACUGACGCUGAGGCUCGAAAGUGUGGGGAGCAAACAGGAUUAGAUACCCUGGUAGUC
rnacentral:rRNA from 1 species